rnacentral:misc_RNA from 1 species
CCGAUCCUCGAGAAUCUCUCCGGGGGAUUUGUUCGGAGUUAUUCGUGACUCGUUUAUCAUUGGGUAUGAAUUUGAUAUAAAAUGAAAGUGUUUCACUCGCGGGGUUUUUCAUUUUACUGCAGAUGUAUAUAAUUUUCUUUGUUUGUGAAAUAUAAAGAGACCUGGUAUCGUUAUAAUACAAAUAUCUAUGAUGAGUUUAGCGCCCGCGCGAGUGCCGUGGAUGAUGAAGAUGGAGAUGAUGAUCGAGUCGACGAAGAAGAUGACCUCUAAACGAUCCCAAAGGGCCAUCGAUCCACCACUGGUGACGUCCUGCAGCCACGACAUUGUUGGCAUGAUCACGAAGUGCGAACCGGUUUAGAGUGGUUCCUUGCUAUUGGGUUGAGUUCAUCGACCUUCCGACCGAAUUCUUCCGAUUCUAUACAAAGUUCCGAAAUCAUUGGCCGCCCAUUUCCGGUUCUAAUCAACUUCGAUAUCAGCUACUUCUCUCGGAACUCUCGUAAUAACAUACUCUACACAACGUGAGCUAUCUUGUAAAAUAGCACGAUGGAUCGGGAUCUUACGGUGGUGCCGUCGGAGGUGUUACUUCGGUUCUUGGGUUCCCGAUCGGCGUAUGAUAUCGCAUCAUCAUUAUCAUCAUCAUCAUCAUCAUCAUCGUCGUCGUGAUCGUGAUCGUGAUCGUGUGGUGUACCUUGUACGAGUAUAUUCCGUAUGAAUCCACGUACACGCAUCGAGGGAGGGAAUGAGGAUGAGGAUGAGGACGAGGACGAGG